ACCCAGCUUGUCGAGUUCCUCAUCCACCACCACGAGGAACUCCUUGGAGAGCAGGUGGCCAGGGUGGCCAGCGAGGGGGCCAAGGAGACACCAGCACCACAACCAGAGCUGGAAACAGCAGAGGUGCCUCCUGUUGCUCCUGAGAGCAAACAGCAGAGGAGCUUUUCCGGGGAGAAAAGCUUCCCAGGUUCUUCGCAGAACACCAG